GGGGGCCCGCAAGCGGUGGAGCAUGUGGUUUAAUUCGAUGCAACGCGAAAAACCUUACCUGGUCUUGACAUCCAUAGAAUUUGAUAGAAAUAUCAAAGUGCCUUCGGGAACUAUGAGACAGGUGCUACAUGGCUGUCGUCAGCUCGUGUUGUGAAAUGUUGGGUUAAGUCCCGCAACGAGCGCAACCCUUAUCCUUUGUUGCCAUCAGGUAAAGCUGGGAACUCAAAGGAGACUGCCGGUUAUAAACCGGAGGAAGGUGGGGACAACGUCAAGUCAUCAUGGCCCUUACGACCAGGGCUACACACGUGCUACAAUGGUAUAUACAAAGAGAUGCAACUCUGCAAGGAUAAGCAAACCUCAUAAAGUGUAUCGUAGUCCGGACUGGAGUCUGCAACUCGACUCCACGAAGUCGGAAUCGCUAGUAAUCGUGGAUCAGAAUGCCACGGUGAAUACGUUCCCGGGCCUUGUACACACC
rnacentral:rRNA from 1 species